rnacentral:rRNA from 1 species
GACGAACGCUGGCGGCGUGCUUAACACAUGCAAGUCGAACGGAAAGGCCCUGCUUGCAGGGUACUCGAGUGGCGAACGGGUGAGUAACACGUGGGUGAUCUGCCCUGCACUUCGGGAUAAGCCUGGGAAACUGGGUCUAAUACCGGAUAGGAGCCAUUUUUAGUGUGAUGGUUGGAAAGUUUUUUCGGUGUAGGAUGAGCUCGCGGCCUAUCAGCUUGUUGGUGGGGUAAUGGCCUACCAAGGCGGCGACGGGUAGCCGGCCUGAGAGGGUGGACGGCCACAUUGGGACGGAGAUACGGCCCAGACACCUACGGGAGGAAGCAGUGGGGAAUAGUGAACAAUGGGCGAAAGCCUGAUGCAGAGACGCCGCGUGGGGGAUGACGGACUUCGGGUUGUAAACGACUUUCGCUAGGGACGAAGCAUUUUGUGACGGUACCUAGAUAAGAAGCACCGGCUAACUACGUG